UGAACGCUGACAGAAUGCUUAACACAUGCAAAUCGAUGGGGAAGUGGUGCUUGCACCAUGGCAACCAUGGCGGACGGGUGAGUAACGCGUAAGGGACUUACCUGCAGGACUGGGAUAACAGGGGGAAACUCCUGACAAGACCGGAUAAUGUCAUGGAGCUGCAUGGCUUUAUGAUGAAAGGAGACGCCUGCGGAGAGCCUUGCGUCCUAUUAGCUAGUUGGUGAGGUAAUGGCUCACCAAGGCGAAGAUAGGUAGCCGGCCUGAGAGGGUGGACGGCCACAAGGGGACUGAGAUACGGCCCUUACUCCUACGGGAGGCAGCAGUGGGGAAUAUUGGACAAUGGGGGCAACCCUGAUCCAGCAAUUCUGUGUGCACGAAGAAGGUUUUCGGAUUGUAAAGUGCUUUCAGCAGGGAAGAAGUAAGUGACGGUACCUGCAGAAGAAGCGACGGCUAAAUACGUG
rnacentral:rRNA from 1 species